UCCCAUGUGGCUCAGUUGGUAGAGCAUGGCGCUUGCAACUUCAGAGUGGUGGGUUCGAUUCCCAUGGGGA
rnacentral:tRNA from 1 species